rnacentral:lncRNA from 1 species
UGGAGCCACGGACACGGGGCCACAUAGCCACUCAGUAGCAGCCCUAGAGACUUGAAUCCAGGCCAUCUCACUCCAAAGCUUGUGCUUUUUCAAAUCUAGAUUCCAGGCCUGCCUUCCUGCUGUGCCUCCCAUCUCCCUCCCCAAACCAGACUUUGGCGGAGCCAGAUCCCUAGAGGCCAAAGGCCAGGUUGUUUUCUGUUGCCCACUGUGGCAGGAUCUCUGUCAUUUCCUUCCCAGUUCUCCUAACCAUGCGGAACAACCUUGGGGCCUUCCUCCGAGG